GUGAGAUUUGCCCCAUAGACUAUAAAAUCCGAAACACCAUUUUCUUUUUUCAUUAGUUCUUCAACAAUUCUAGUCUCAUCUACGGUCUUUUCGCCUAUCAACUCUGUCAGUUCUGAAGUAUCAACAUCUGAAACUUUAAUGUCAUUUGCUUCAACUGUGCUGAUAGUCACUUGAUUGUUGCUUGACACGGCUUCAGUUGUUUCACUGUCAUGGUCUCCACGUAUAAUGGUCACAAUCGCGGGCUCUGAUGAAUAUUCUCCCCUUACCUUAGCCAACAUUUUCCACAAUGUAGCACAAAUAACAUCAAAAGGCUUCACCUUAUUAUAAGUUCCACAAACAUUGGAAACUAGUUGGUUUAGUUGAUUUUGU
rnacentral:misc_RNA from 1 species